rnacentral:lncRNA from 1 species
AUAAAAUCAUUCUAGUUUCUAAUGCUGAGCCAGUUCACAAUGCCAAGGACUGAUAACAAGAAGACUCUUUCCUACAUCUCAGUGGCUGUGACUGUAACGCCUCCAGGAACAGUUUCCAGGCUGUACCUCCACAUGGAUUAUGUUUGCCCCAAGAUGAUGGCUGAGGACACCAGGGCCAGAAGCACCGCCUUUCCCAAGGCUCUUAGAUUCAGGAUCCUGAGCUGUCUCUGUCAGGGACUGACGUUCAAUUUACAGAAGAGGAACUGAGGCAAACAGGGUGGAGUGACUUGUCCAGAGUCACACAGCUGGUAAGUAUCUGAAGCAGGAUUUGAGCUCAUGAAAAAUCUAAGCCCAACACUCUAUCCAUUGUAGCACUUAGCUGCCCAAUUUAGCUCUGAC